GAUGAAGAACGUAGCAAAAUGCGAUAAGUAAUGUGAAUUGCAGAAUUCAGUGAAUCAUCGAAUCUUUGAACGCACAUUGCGCCCGCUGGUAUUCCGGCGGGCAUGCCUGUUCGAGCAUCAUUUCAACCCUCAAGCCCCCCGGGUUUGGUGUUGGGGAUCGGCUCUGCCUCACGGCGGUGCCGCCCCCGAAAUACAUUGGCGGUCUCGCUGCAGCCUCCAUUGCGUAGUAGCUAACACCUCGCAACUGGAACGCGGCGCGGCCAUGCCGUAAAACCCCAACUUCUGAAUGUUGACCUCGGAUCAGGUAGGAAUACCCGCUGAACUUAAGCAUAUCAAUAAGCGGAGGA
rnacentral:misc_RNA from 1 species